UACAGAGGGGGCAAGCGUUGUUCGGAAUUACUGGGCGUAAAGGGCCAGUAGGCGGCCAACUAAGUCGGAUGUGAAAUCCCCAGGCUUAACCUGGGAACUGCAUCCGAUACUGGAUGGCUUGAAUUCGGGAGAGGGAUGCAGAAGUUCCAGGUGUAGCGGUGAAAUGCGUAGAUAUCUGGAGGAAUACCGGUGGCGAAGGCGGCAUCCUGGACCGACAUUGACGCUGAACGGCGAAAGCUAGGGGAGCGAAACGGGG
rnacentral:rRNA from 1 species